rnacentral:rRNA from 1 species
CGGCCGCGUCGACGCUUAACACAUGCAAGUCGAACGGAGUAGAAAUACUUAGUGGCGGACGGGUGAGUAACACGUGGGAACGUGCCUUUAGGUUCGGAAUAACUCAGGGAAACUUGUGCUAAUACCGAAUGUGCCCUUCGGGGGAAAGAUUUAUCGCCUUUAGAGCGGCCCGCGUCUGAUUAGCUAGUUGGUAGUGUAAUGGACUACCAAGGCGACGAUCAGUAGCUGGUCUGAGAGGAUGAUCAGCCACAUUGGGACUGAGACACGGCCCGGACUCCUACGGGAGGCAGCAGUCGGGAAUAUUGGACAAUGGGGGCAACCCUGAUCCAGCCAUGCCGUCGACGCGGCCG